rnacentral:piRNA from 1 species
UGCAAUCAUGUUGUUUUGUUUCAGGAGGUC